rnacentral:rRNA from 1 species
UUUUGGACAAUGGGCGCAAGCCUGAUCCAGCCAUUCCGCGUGAGUGAAGAAGGCCUUCGGGUUGUAAAGCUCUUUCGCAAGGCACCCCCAGAUUACUCUCUAAUAUAGAGUGAUUAUGACGGUACCUUGAUAAGAAGCACCGGCUAACUACGUGCCAGCAGCCGCGGUAAUACGUAGGGUGCGAGCGUUAAUCGGAAUUACUGGGCGUAAAGCGUACGCGGGCGGUUUGUUAAGCGAGAUGUGAAAGCCCCGGGCUCAACCUGGGAACUGCAUUUCGAACUGGCAAACUAGAGUGUGAUAGAGGGUGGUAGAAUUUCAGGUGUAGCGGUGAAAUGCGUAGAGAUUUGAAGGAAUACCGAUGGCGAAGGCAGCCACCUGGGUCAACACUGACGCUCAUUACGAAA